UGGGGAAUAUUGCGCAAUGGGGGAAACCCUGACGCAGCAACGCCGCGUGAAGGAUGAAGGUUUUCGGAUUGUAAACUUCUAUCGAUGGGGACGAGACAAGACGGUACCCAAGUAAGAAGCCCCGGCUAACUAUGUGCCAGCAGCCGCGGUAAUACAUAGGGGGCAAGCGUUAUCCGGAAUUACUGGGCGUAAAGGGUGAGUAGGCGGUUUUAUAAGUCAUAUGUGAAAAUCCAGUUCUCAAGGCUGGACUUGCAUAAGAAACUGUAGAACUAGAGUGCAGGAGAGGUAAGCGGAAUUCCUAGUGUAGCGGUAAAAUGCGUAGAUAUUAGGAAGAACACCAGUGGCGAAGGCGGCUUACUGGACUGUAACUGACGCUGAUACACGAAAGCGUGGGGAGCGA
rnacentral:rRNA from 1 species